CCUGGUCUGUUUACAAAAUAUUUCUGCCUGUGUGCCUGUACCACCAUCUAGUGGCUACGUCGCUCUCCGUCUGAUCAUGAAUAGGAAAGUAAUCUGGAAGACGGGGAGAGGAAAGAAGGAAGAAAGAGGGAUGAAAGAAAAGAGGAGAGAGAUUAAAGAGAAACAGGAGAGAAAAGAAGAAAGAAAAAAAACACAAAACUACAGCUGAGAUUUUGAAGACUUAUCCCACAACAUAGAACCUACAGGAAUGUUUGCCUAUAUGUCAACAGAUACGAAUACAAGAUCAUAUGAUUCUCUGAACAGUCUCAAUGUUGGCACGCCUUGUCAUCUUGGUCAUGAAAACUCUUUUACUUGAACAUUGUGAGAAGUCCCAGAGAAGACUGGAGAGCUUGGAGGAUGGGCAAGUAGGUUUGGAGAGAAGAAAAAGAACAGUUCACCAAGUUUCAG